GCCGCGUUCGUCUAGCCUGGUCUAGGACGCCGGCCUCUCACGCCGGUAACAUGGGUUCAAAUCCCAUACGCGGUA
rnacentral:tRNA from 1 species